rnacentral:rRNA from 1 species
GACGAACGCUGGCGGCGUGCUUAACACAUGCAAGUCGAACGGAAAGGCCCUGCUUUUGUGGGGUGCUCGAUUGGCGAACGGGUGAGUAACACGUGAGUAACCUGCCCUUGACUUUGGGAUAACUUCAGGAAACUGGGGCUAAUACCGGAUAGGAUCUCCUGCUGCAUGGUGUGGGUUGGAAAGUUUCGGCGGUUGGGGAUGGACUCGCGGCUUAUCAGCUUGUUGGUGGGGUAGUGGCUUACCAAGGCUUUGACGGGUAGCCGGCCUGAGAGGGUGACCGGCCACAUUGGGACUGAGAUACGGCGCAGACUCCUACGGGAGGCAGCAGUGGGGAAUAUUGCACAAUGGGCGGAAGCCUGAUGCAGCAACGCCGCGUGCGGGAUGACGGCCUUCGGGUUGUAAACCGCUUUCGCAUGUGACGAAGCGUGAGUGACGGUAAUGGGUAAAGAAGCAACGGCUAACUACGUG